UACGAAGGGUGCUAGCGUUGUUCGGAAUCACUGGGCGUAAAGCGCGCGUAGGCGGCCUAUCAAGUCAGGGGUGAAAUGCCACGGCUCAACCGUGGAACUGCCUUUGAAACUGAUGGGCUAGAAGAUGAGAGGGGAUAGCGGAAUUUCUGGUGUAGAGGUGAAAUUCGUAGAUACCAGAAGGAACACCGGUGGCGAAGGCGGCUAUCUGGCUCAUUCUUGACGCUCUGGCGCGAAAGCGUGGGGAUCAAACAGG
rnacentral:rRNA from 1 species